CGCAUCUGUGCAUGCAGCAUAUCAAUAAGCGGAGGAAAAGAAACUAACAAGGAUUCCCCUAGUAACGGCGAGUGAAGCGGGAAGAGCUCAAAUUUGAAAUCUUAAAGGGUUUCCCUUUACGAAUUGUAGUUUAAAGAAGUGUUUUCUGUUGAGGUUUUGGUAAAAGUUCUUUGGAAUAGGACAUCAUAGAGGGUGAGAAUCCCGUAUUUGACCUUUACUUUCAACUUUGUGAUACACUUUCAAGAGUCGGAUUGUUUGGGAAUGCAGUCCAAAAUGGGUGGUAAAUUUCAUCUAAAGCUAAAUAUUGGCGAGAGACCGAUAGCGAACAAGUACCGUGAGGGAAAGAUGAAAAGAACUUUGAAAAGAGAGUUAAACAGUACGUGAAAUUGUCAAAAGGGAAGCGUUUGACACCAGUGUUGUUUUUCUGAAAAUCAAUUAAAGAACUGUUUAUGCUAAGCUGUUUAGACUUUAUCAGCUAUCUGUUUAGUUUUGAGCUUUUCUUUAAUGCACUUUUCAGUUAACAAGUCAACAUCAAUUUCUUUUGCUGUAAAAAAGCUUGAGGAAGGUGGCUUGAGAUUCGUCUUAAGUGUUUAUAGCCUCUUGCCUAUGCAGUCGGAGAGAUUGAGGUCUGCAGCGUAGAUCCUUCGGGGCUAAAUGCAUUUGUGCUAAGUUAUAGCAUUUUAUAGACAACUUGUUGACUAUGAUUUGUCUUGUAGCUUACUCGCUUAUGUUAUUUUACCUACGCUUAGGAUGUUGAGUCAUCACACAUCUCU
rnacentral:rRNA from 1 species